AUUGCAGCUCCGUGCCGGGGGCGCCAGCACCGGCCUCGCAGCUCCCUCGCCCGGCCGGGGAGGUAAACAAAGUGAAAUAUCCUUCCGCGGCCCGGGGCCCCGGGCGCAGCACCCUGGGUGUCGGCUGCGAGCCGGCUGCGAGCCCAGCUGCGGGCGGCUGGGCCGGGGUUACCAGCAGCGACUCCCGAGCCGUUCCCCACACGCUGCUCCCGCAGCGCCCGCUCCAGCUCUUCGUAGCUCGUUCAUGUUCCUGGCGCUUUUCCCCAGAAAGCCAGGCACGCUCUGAGCAUUGGGCCCCCAGGCUCAGAUGUGGCCCUGAAUGAGGAGCUCUGUUUUGGAAGAAUGCGCUUUCAUCGGUAUUGCUGCCUGGAGUUUCGAGAAUUCGUUUCAUGCUCUCCUCCAAGACACUAUGGCCAACUGAAGCCCAAAGCCAGCUGAGAGGGGAGUCUGGGAACUGCAGGGUGCAUCAUCAACCCAGUGAAAUGCAGACCAGAGCAGAGGAAGGCCAGGAUCUGCACAGCUCAUUCGCUUUUUAUGGACUUACUUUCCAAGGAAGAAGGCUGGAAGGUGAGAGUCUAAAUCCACAAGUGAAGGAAUGCAACAUGGGAAGUGUCUCAAAGAACAUCUCCAGAGGGACAGGAUGCUCAGUGGAGUGGGCUGACCUCUCCCCGCUGGUGCCCAGGGCUCUCUCUUCACUGCGGUUCCUAAUGUGGCUGCUUCAUUGACUGUGUGGAGGGAGAACAGGAUGCUGAGAUGACCAGAGGGCGAGUCAAACUUGCAAACCUCUAAAGGAACGUCCAAGCUCCCCAGCCAUUCAUCCAUUCAUCUGCCUAUUCAAUGAUUUGUUCAUUCUUUCCUCCAGAUUAUAGUCCCUUAGACACCAAACGUCUUUAAAGGUAUCCCUGGUAUUUCUUAUGGCUCCUUGAUAUGGUUUUGCUGUGUCCCCACCCAAAUCUCAUCUUGAAUUUCCACAUGUUGUGAGAGGGACCCAGUGGGAGGUAACUGAAUCAUGGGUGCAAGUCUUUCUCAUGCUGUUCUCAUGAUAGUGAAUAAGUCUCAUGAGAUCUGAUGGUAAUAUAAGGGGGAGUUUCCCUGCUCAAGCUCUCUCUUUGCCUGCUGCCAUCCAUGUAAGAUGUGACUUGCUUCUCCUUGUGUUCUGCCAUGAUUGUGAGGCCUCCUCAGCCAUAUGGAGCUGUGAGUCCAAUUAAACCUCUUUCUUUUGUAAAUUUCCCAGUCUCAAAUAUGUCUUUAUCAGCAGCAUGAAAACGGACUAAUACACUCCUCUUAAACCCUUAGCUAUGUAAUUUUUGUUGUCCCCUCUCUGAGCCACCAUUUAUGCCGUUUGCUUAACUUCUGU
rnacentral:lncRNA from 1 species